rnacentral:lncRNA from 1 species
GGGGGAGCUUUUUGAGUCAUCGGAUCUCCGAAGUCUUGGUCCUACAAAGAGAUUACAUUGAUCACACCCAUCGUAGGUUGAGUGUGAGCUUCCUCUCGGGGUGUGGCAGAGGCUGAGAGUCACCCGACAGCUGUGUAGAUCGAUCCUGCAUGUACUUUCUGAGAUAUCCCCAUCGUAUUAGGUUUUUGAUCUUGUUCUUCAGCUCAAUGCACCUCUCAGUGUCAUGGCCAUAGUCACGGUGGAACCAAUAGUAGCACCUUUGGUUAUGGAAUGCUACUCUUGUCUUCAUUAACUGGGGUCAUCGAAGGUAGUCCUCCCUCUCUAUCUCCAUAAGGAUUUGUGCAUGAGGAGUAGUUAGAGGGGUAUAGGAGUCAUACCUGGGGCCAAAAUUUUUUGGCCUCGGGCUUUACCGAUAAGAUGGGGCCUCCCUCUUAGUGUGGGCUUGGUUGGAUCCCAUGGAGGUCCCUUCUUUCUUGAUCUUCUUCUUGGAUCCUUGUCCUC